GCCUUCGUGGUGUAAUGGUCAACACACUCGGCGCCUAUUCGAGAGUUCCGAGGUUCGAGUCCCUUCGAAGGCA
rnacentral:tRNA from 1 species